GUGUCAGCAGCCGCGGUAAUACGGAGGGUGCAAGCGUUGUUCGGAAUCACUGGGCGUAAAGCGCGUGUAGGCGGCUUCCUAAGUCUGGUGUGAAAGCCCGGGGCUCAACCCCGGAAGUGCACUGGAGACUGGGAGACUCGAGUACCGGAGAGGAGGGUGGAAUUCCUGGUGUAGCGGUGAAAUGCGUAGAUAUCAGGAGGAACACCGGUGGCGAAGGCGGCCCUCUGGACGGCUACUGACGCUGAGACGCGAAAGCGUGGGGAGCAAACAGGAUUAGAUACCCUGGUAGUCC
rnacentral:rRNA from 1 species